rnacentral:lncRNA from 1 species
AGCUGGAAGCUCGCAUAGCAGACUUUGGAGUUGCCAAGCUGAUGGACGUGUCUCGGAGUGCCAAAACCGUGUCGAGGAUCGCUGGCUCAUACGGCUACAUCGCCCCAGGUUUGUACCACCUUCUGUUUUCAUUGCCAUCCGUGACUUAGUGCUUUACGCAUCCCCUCCAGAAUACGGCUACACCUUAAAGAUCACCACCAAGAACGAUGUGUACGCAUUCGGUGUCGUGCUGCUCGAGAUCCUCACCAACAAACGAGCUGUAGAGCACGAAUUCGGCGAAGGCGUCGACCUCGUCAAGUGGAUACGCGAGCAGCUUAAGACGUCGGCUUCCGCGGUGGAGGUGCUCGAGCCGAGGAUGCAAGGAAUGCCCGACCCCGAAGUCCAGGAGAUGCUCCAAGUUCUCGGGAUAGCACUGCUUUGCACGAACUCCAAGCCAUCUGGAAGACCAACCAUGAGAGAAGUGGUUGUUUUGCUCAGGGAAGUGAAGCAUACCUCGGAGGAAUCGUCGGCUCUCAAGGUGUCAACACCGUUGAUAGCGAGCCAGAAAAGCAGCCAUCCGGAGGUACUCGAAGUUUCAUCGGUAUAGAAACUAGAAACCGGACGAAAUGUCCAUAUCCUGUAAUUUUGGUUGCCUUCCUCUUUCUCUCCUUCCGGAUAAAAGAACAAAAAAAAAAAAAAACACUUCUUCUGGAAAUUGACUGUCAGGAAGGACGCGAGAAAUAAAAAAUCACAUUCGAAUGAAUGAAGAUAUAUACAUGCACCACACAGAAAAGCUGCAAAGAAUAAAGAACAUUCAAGCGGCAAUCCUAUCCAUUAUCCAAUUUCCAGCGAAAAAUCACUGGCGAUGGAUUUACUCGCGCGCUAAAUCGCAGCGCGGCCAGAGAACGAGCAAGCAUGCGAUAAGAAGAAUCUCAAAGCCCUAAGAGAGUUACCUCGAUCAACGAAGCUCCAUCGCUUUGACCUAGCACUAAAAUAAGAA